GUGCGUUCCAUACUAUAGGUGCGGAUCAUUUUUGCACAAUGAUGCUGUUCUCCGAGGAAACAAAGCUGGGCUCCCUGCCACCUUCCCUGACCACACCCUCCCUCCUAGGACCCUCCUGGUGGGAGAGUCUGGGACCCCCAGCCCACCCAACCUGACCUAAAGCAGCUUUCUGGAUCCCAAACAAACUUCCUCCUCCCUCUGCCUCAGAGGCCCAGAGUUCUGGUUCCCAUGACAAGAGGCAGGAAGUUGAGGACCUGGUGAGAGAUGAGGGGACCCACCCAAAGUCCUGCCAGUCCAGCAACUUCCUGUCCCGAGGCUCCCCUCGACCAGAGCCCUCCCUCUAGACCUGUGGUUCUCACCAGGGGACAAUUUGUCAGUCUUGAGAUGGUUUUGGUUGUAGUGUUGAAGGGCAGGGGCUACUGGCUUCUCAUGGGUAGAAGGCUGGGAUGCUGCUAAACAUGCUGAGGUGCUCAGGACAGGCCCCCACAACAAAGAACCAUCCAGCCCAAAUGUCUAUAGAGCUGAGAAUGAGAAACGCGACUUUACACAGGGGUGUCGGGGUGCCCCUGCCCACAGAAGCCAGGAGGAGGCGAGAUGCUCCGGCAGGGCUCCCAGGAAGGGCUCCAAUGAUAAGAGGAAUCCUGAUAAUAGCCAUAGUCAGAGUCCAUGGGCCCAUGGCACUGAUGAGGCCCAGAGGGGCAGUGACCAGCCCAAGGUCCCCCAAGGGGCAGGGCAUGGCCAAGCCUGGGGCCCACCUUUCCGGCCUCCUAGGUCCAGCCUGUUGUGUGCCCUCCGGGACAGAGUCCCAGGAGACCUCUGAGUCCUCUCUGAUGGGCAGCACCUGCCUGAGUUUGAGGGACUCCCUCCUGCCCGCUCCCAGCAUCCCCCACUCCAGCGGCUAGGGGAAUUUUUCUUCUUUGGAACUUACACUGUGUCCAGACGUUUCAGACACCGUGGGCCACUGGGGCCCAAGUGAGCGUCUGUCAGGAACAGCCCUGAGCCCACCCUCUCCUGGCCUCACUCAGGGUGUUUUGGCAACUUAUUCAAAACACAAAACACGAAAGCCGGUCUGUCUCCAGGACACUGUUUCUGCCCCACUGCGGCUCACUUAUGUUUGUUUAUAGACCAAAUGGGCCUGCGUUUGCUGUUGGUUUAACCCUGCCCCCACUCCCAACUCCUCCCACCCCCACCCUCGGGCCCAUGCUCUGUCGACACUUGGACCCCCGAGAUCCCUCUGCCCAGCCUCCUGAGCCCGGUGUACAGCCCAUAGCCCACACAGUGCCCAGCUGGAGUUUGGCAGCAUCUGCUGGAGCACUUUCUCAUCAAAGGGCUCAUUUAGGCCUUGCAAAACCUGACAGAUAAGGCCAAAUUUAAGGCUUCUCUUGGGAGUGGCUCCACCUGGGAGGAGUGCAAAGCUCCAGACUCCUCUGUCCACCUUGGGCUCCUGUGUCAAGUGUGAACUAAUUGCUAUGAAGGAUGGGCAACAGGAAGGGGAGAAGUUCCAUCUUCCGUUUCAGACCUGAGAGGCCUGAAGGCGUUGCCCAUGGCUGUCUCAAAGAUGAGUUCCUUUAUUCGGUUCUGAGGAUGGCCUGACCAUGGGGCCCUGGGGCCCACUGGCUGGAGGAGAGUCAAUAAUGUACCGACAGCACAGCCACAGAUCUGGCCAGACACCCCCUCUCUGAAGAGGCAACUCCCCUGUGCCUGGAGGCGAGCGUGGGUGUGGGAGGCGAGGGCUCAUGCAAUGGCAGGUGCUGAGCCUGCAGCUGAGGACGAGGGCAGAGGGGACUCCGCCCUGUCUCCUCUCCUGAUCUGGUUGGCAGCCGCCAGAAUUUUCGUCUCUGCUUGACCCCAGCCCUUCUUUCUUCCCUCCCCUCUGUGAGUCCUGGAGCUUGGAGAGCCCAGGGCUGGAAGGAGGCAUUGGUACAGGACCGUCUCCUUCCCAACCUGCUGUCUCGGGCUGUUCCCUCUGAUCUCAUCCUCCUUCUGUCCAGCUCAGUACCUCUGAAGCUGGCCGUCCUCCAAGUCUAACCUCAGAUCUCGCCUCCUCCAGGAAGACUUCCCUGAAUCUUGGCGUGGUGCUACCUCCCUUCCCAGAAUUCCUGGGGCAAAUAAAGUUUGUACCAGAAAGCUGCCACAUGCCACGUCCUCCGGUUGUGUGUGGACAUCAUUGAGACCGAUCACAAAAGCUCUGGCUCUCUCUCCUUCUGGACACUUGGAAGAGGUGUACAUCCCCGCCCACCUGAAUUCAGGCGGGGCCACGUGACUGGCCAUGUGAGUGGAAAUGGCAGGAUCUGAGGCCCCGCAGCGGCGUGAGUCACAGGUGAUGAGUCACCGCAUUGUUUGUGCUGAUGGCCCGGGCAGGAAGCAGUCAGGCUGCAGGAGAAGUUGACUUUUCUCGUCUCGCUCCGGGUGAAUUGGUGUUUUUGCUGCACUGGAG
rnacentral:lncRNA from 1 species